GGUUACAAGGAGUGUAAUUUAAACACAGGCAGCCCCGGGGCAACACAGGCAGAGAUGUGAUAAGUCUGAGUGUCCAGUCUGCAGAGAAGGAAAAUGCAAAAUCUCUAAGUCCAGACAGUUCUCUGGCAUGUUCUCAUUCAGUGGACUUCCAGGAUCAGCACUGAGAAACUUUGAACUGAGCCAAUGACUCUGUAAUUGCUGAGUCUUUUUCCACUGACUGAAGGUGGCCCUGGCUGCACCAUGUGCCUUGUGAAGAGCUGGGACUGAAAAGCCCACAUUUACCCAUCUGAGCCUCAUUGCUUCAGCCAGUCCCAUGACAAAAACAGGUAACAAAAUUCACCUGGUUUUGGACCUGCUUCCCUGAAAUGUCUUCAUAAACUCCCUGUCAGAGGAUGCCCUGGCUGCUGCAGAAUGAGCCUGAGUAACUUUGACAGACCUUGAAAUGCAUCUGUAUGGAUCAGAUUACCUCAGAAGUAGGAGGAAAUUUAUAUUUAUUGGAAGAGACAGUUGUGUUUUGUGUGUGUGACUGUGGAGCUCAUGAAGUCUGGAAGGACUACAGCCAUUUUCCCUUGCUGCUGAUGGUAUGCAAUGGGAUGCAGCGCUGCCUUUUGGAACAUUCCUGGGUUCCUGCAUCAGCAAUGCAUGCAGAACAGCUGCAGAUACACCUUGAGAGGGGGCAGCAGCUCCAGGAAUGACAACUCAGCCUAUUAGCUAGUUUAUGUUAAAGCCCUUCUGAAGGAGGUGAUCUCAAAGACAACUGGAGCUGGAGGAGAAGUAAAUAAAACAAAUCUGGAUUCAUUAAAGAUUAUUAUU
rnacentral:lncRNA from 1 species